AGAGGGUGCAAGCGUUAAUCGGAAUUACUGGGCGUAAAGGGCGUGUAGGUGGUUUGAUAAGUUGGCUGUGAAAGCCCCGGGCUUAACCUGGGAGGGUCAGCCAAAACUAUAAGACUAGAGUACGGUAGAGGGUAGUGGAAUUUCCGGUGUGGCGGUGAAAUGCGUAGAUAUCGGAAGGAACACCAGUGGCGAAGGCGACUACCUGGACUGAUACUGACACUGAGGCGCGAAAGCGUGGGGAGCGAACAGGAUUAGAUACCCUGGGUAGUCCACGCCGUAAACGAUGAGAACUAGCCGUUGGGGACGUAAGUCUUUAGUGGCGCAGCUAACGCGAUAAGUUCUCCGCCUGGGGAGUACGGCCGCAAGGCUA
rnacentral:rRNA from 1 species